CUCCUACGGGAGGCAGCAGUGGGGAAUUUUGGACAAUGGGCGAAAGCCUGAUCCAGCAAUGCCGCGUGAGUGAAGAAGGCCUUCGGGUUGUAAAGCUCUUUUGUCAGGGAAGAAACGGUGUUUCCUAAUACGGAAUGCUAAUGACGGUACCUGAAGAAUAAGCACCGGCUAACUACGUGCCAGCAGCCGCGGUAAUACGUAGGGUGCAAGCGUUAAUCGGAAUUACUGGGCGUAAAGCGUGCGCAGGCGGUUUUGUAAGUCUGACGUGAAAUCCCCGGGCUCAACCUGGGAAUUGCGUUGGAGACUGCAAGGCUAGAAUCUGGCAGAGGGGGGUAGAAUUCCACGUGUAGCAGUGAAAUGCGUAGAUAUGUGGAGGAACACCGAUGGCGAAGGCAGCCCCCUGGGUCAAGAUUGACGCUCAUGCACGAAAGCGUGGGGAGCAAACAGGAUUAGAUACCCUGGUAGUCCACGCCCUAAACGAUGUCUACUAGUUGUCGGGUUUUAAUUAACUUGGUAACGCAGCUAACGCGUGAAGUAGACCGCCUGGGGAGUACGGUCGCAAGAUUAAAACUCAAAGGAAUUGACGG
rnacentral:rRNA from 1 species